rnacentral:rRNA from 1 species
GAUGAACGCUGGCGGCGUGCCUAAUACAUGCAAGUCGAGCGAACAGACGAGGAGCUUGCUCCUCUGACGUUAGCGGCGGACGGGUGAGUAACACGUGGAUAACCUACCUAUAAGACUGGGAUAACUUCGGGAAACCGGAGCUAAUACCGGAUAAUAUAUUGAACCGCAUGGUUCAAUAGUGAAAUACGGUUUUGCUGUCACUUAUAGAUGGAUCCGCGCCGCAUUAGCUAGUUGGUAAGGUAACGGCUUACCAAGGCAACGAUGCGUAGCCGACCUGAGAGGGUGAUCGGCCACCCUGGAACUGAGACACGGUCCAGACUCCUAAGGGAGGCAGCAGUAGGGAAUCUUCCGCAAUGGGCGAAAGCCUGACGGAGCAACGCCGCGUGAGAGAUGAAGGUCUUCGGAUCGUAAAACUCUGUUAUUAGGGAAGAACAAAUGUGUAAGUAACUAUGCACGUCUUGACGGUACCUAAUCAGAAAGCCACGGCUUACUACGUG